GAAGCGGGCCAGACCGCCGCUGGUGCAAGACCCGAAAGGGUGCACUGGAGGAAGGUCCGGACUGCACAGGGCGGCGCAGCAGCUAACGGCUGUCCGGCGUGAGCCGAGGAUCAGAGCAACAGAGACGAGUCGGGGCGGACCCGCCUGGGUGUUUCAGCGAGGCGCCGGCGCAAGCCGGCGACCGGGUGGCGCAAGCCAUCCGGCCACGGCGUCAGCCGUGGACCGAGCAGCCACCCGGAGCGGCAAAGCCGCUCCGGGUGAAACGGGCAAUCUCUGCGCGCAGCAACACCAAAUAGGCCGGCGAUGAUGCGGCCCGCGGAGCCGGCGGGUAGGUGGCACCGAGCCGCGCAGCGAUGCGCGGCCCAGAGGAAUGGCGGUCACGGCGGCGCCUUCGCAAGAAGGCACGCCGCACAGAAUCCGGCCUAUCGGCCCGCUUCACAC
rnacentral:RNase_P_RNA from 1 species